rnacentral:rRNA from 1 species
UACGUAGGGGGCAAGCGUUGUCCGGAUUUAUUGGGCGUAAAGAGCGUGUAGGCGGCCAGACAGGUCAGCUGUGAAAACUCGAGGCUCAACCUCGAGACGUCGGUUGAAACCGUCUGGCUAGAGUCCGGAAGAGGAGAGUGGAAUUCCCGGUGUAGCGGUGAAAUGCGCAGAUAUCGGGAAGAACACCCGUGGCGAAGGCGGCUCUCUGGGACGGUACUGACGCUGAGACGCGGAAGCGUGGGGAGCGAACAGG